rnacentral:rRNA from 1 species
AGUCAAUGCUCGAAAGAGUGAACUAGCUAACUGAAAUCAAUUAUAAAAAUUGAUAACAUAAGGGAAAAUAAUGAUAUUACCUUAUUAUUAGUGUUGUCCAAAUCUGGUGCCAGAAGACUCGGUAAGGCCAGAAACACGAACGUUAAUCGUCUUAAUCAGGCGUAAAGGGUUUGUAGGCUGCUUUAAAUUUAUAUUUAAGUAAAGAAUAAAAGCUAGAAUCAAAUAGAGGAUAAAUUAAAUAAUGCUUAGAGUAGGUCUGAUAUCCUUAGAUACUAAGUAGAAUAUUAAAGGCGAAAGCUUUUUUCCAUUAAUGAUUGACGCUCAGAAACGAAGGUGAGGAUAGGAAAUAGGAUUAGAUACCCAAAAUACCCCUCUCUGUCAACGAUGAAUGGUAGUUAUUAGUAAUAAAUUAUUAAUGGCAAUGUUAACACGAUAACCAUUCCGCCUUGUGAGUACAACUGCAAAGUUGAAAACAAAAAAAUUAGUCGGUUUCGGAGCAAACGAAGUGAAGCAUGUUAUUUA